UAUGUCUUAGGUCAUUUUUUUCUAAAUGAUUGUAAAUAGAUUGUUCAGUGCUCUGCAGUUUCUAUUCUGUUUUUUUAUCUGCAGUUGGCCGGCCAAGAACAACAACCACUCCAUCCCCACCUGUUCUGUCCAUCUAUCCAGUGUCUCUCCUGGUUCUGGGAGUGGUGCUCUUCCUGGCCUUAGUGCUUCUGGUUGUGCUGUUUUACCAGAACAGAGUGCUCAGGAGAGUGCUCUCUAAGAGGAGGCGUAAGACUCUGACUGAGGCAGUCUAUGAGGAGAUCGACCGCAGAUACAUCACUAAAAGAAAUGACUCGACUCGCAGGGGAAGUAUCCUCUCUGAAG